CAGCAGCCGCGGGAAUACCGAGGGUGCGAGCGUUAAUCGGAUUUACUGGGCGUAAAGCGUGCGUAGGCGGCUUCUUAAGUCGGAUGUGAAAUCCCUGAGCUUAACUUAGGAAUUGCAUUCGAUACUGGGAAGCUAGAGUAUGGGAGAGGAUGGUAGAAUUCCAGGUGUAGCGGUGAAAUGCGUAGAGAUCUGGAGGAAUACCGAUGGCGAAGGCAGCCAUCUGGCCUAAUACUGACGCUGAGGUACGAAAGCAUGGGGAGCAAACAGGAUUAGAUACCCCCGUAGUUCCUGUCUCUUAUAC
rnacentral:rRNA from 1 species